GCAAGUCGAACGCGAACGGUUCUUCGGAACUUAUUAGAGUGGCGGACGGGUGAGUAACACGUGGGAACAUGCCUUUCAGUACGGAACAACGCUUGGAAACGAGUGCUAAUACCGUAUACGCCCUUAGGGGGAAAGAUUUAUCGCUGAAAGAUUGGCCCGCGCUAGAUUAGUUAGUUGGUGAGGUAACGGCUCACCAAGACGACGAUCUAUAGCUGGUUUGAGAGGAUGAUC
rnacentral:rRNA from 1 species